UAGACCACUUGACUUUUGCCUCGCUGGAA
rnacentral:sRNA from 1 species